GACGAACGCUGGCGGCGUGCUUAACACAUGCAAGUCGAACGGAAAGGCCCUGCUUUUGUGGGGUGCUCGAGUGGCGAACGGGUGAGUAACACGUGAGUAACCUGCCCUUGACUUUGGGAUAACUUCAGGAAACUGGGGCUAAUACCGGAUAGGAGCUCCUGCUGCAUGGUGGGGGUUGGAAAGUUUCGGCGGUUGGGGAUGGACUCGCGGCUUAUCAGCUUGUUGGUGGGGUAGUGGCUUACCAAGGCUUGGACGGGUAGCCGGCCUGAGAGGGUGACCGGCCACCUUGGGACUGAGAUACGGCCCAGACUCCUACGGGAGGCAGCAGUGGGGAAUAUUGCACAAUGGGCGGAAGCCUGAUGCAGCAACGCCGCGUGCGGGAUGACGGCCUUCGGGUUGUAAACCGCUUUCGCCUGUGACGAAGCGUGAGUGACGGUAAUGGGUAAAGAAGCACCGGCUAACUACGUG
rnacentral:rRNA from 1 species